AACGUAGGUGGCGAGCGUUAUCCGGAGUUACUGGGCGUAAAGAGUGUGUAGGCGGUGUUCUAAGUUUGUCGUGAAAUCUCCCGGCUUAACUGGGAGGGUGCGGCGAAAACUGGAAUGCUAGAGGAUGGGAGAGGUAAGCGGAAUUCCUGGUGUAGCGGUGAAAUGCGUAGAUAUCAGGAGGAACACCUGUGGUGUAGACAGCUUACUGGACCAUUUCUGACGCUGAGACACGAAAGCGUGGGUAGCAAACAGG
rnacentral:rRNA from 1 species